rnacentral:rRNA from 1 species
AUACGUAGGGGGCGAGCGUUGUCCGGAAUGAUUGGGCGUAAAGGGCGCGUAGGCGGCCUGUUAAGUCUGGAGUGAAAGUCCUGUUUUCAAGAUGGGAAUUGCUUUGGAAACUGUUAUUCUUGAGUAUCGGAGAGGCAGGCGGAAUUCCUAGUGUAGCGGGGAAAUGCGUAGAUAUUAGGAGGAACACCAGUGGCGAAGGCGGCCUGCUGGACGACAACUGACGCUGAGGCGCGAAAGCGUGGGGAGCAAACAGGAUUAGAUACCCUGGUAGUCCACGCUGUAAACGAUGAAUACUAGGUGUAGGAGGUAUCGACUCCUUCUGUGCCGAAGCAAACGCAUUAAGUAUUCCACCUGGGGAGUACGGCCGCAAGGUUAAAACUUAAAGGAAUUGACGGGG